rnacentral:rRNA from 1 species
UACGUAGAGAGCAAGCGUUGUUCGGAUUUACUGGGCGUAAAGGGCGCGUAGGCGGCGCGGUAAGUCACUUGUGAAAUCUCUGAGCUUAACUCAGAACGGCCAAGUGAUACUGCAGUGCUAGAGUGCAGAAGGGGCAAUCGGAAUUCUUGGUGUAGCGGUGAAAUGCGUAGAUAUCGUCAAGAACACCAAUAGUGAAGACAGCUUACUGGGCUUAAACUGACGCUGAGGCACGAAAGUGUGGGGAUCAAACAGG